rnacentral:lncRNA from 1 species
GACAAAUGAAAUAUCAACUUGGACAAAAUGGCUACCGCUUGAAAAAUGACUGUGUAGAGAUGGUUUUAUAGAAUCUACAAUUUUUGAACUCACGAACAAUGAGGCAUAUGUUUGUUCUUUCGGUAGAUGUUAUAAUUAUCUCACAUUUUUUAGACAUUUUUAGCUAUGUCUACUUAUAAAACUACCUUUCAGCCGUUAAGUCAACGAAAAACGUCAUUGGACAUUUUUCUUAUUCCAGCUUAAUAUGCAGCCACCAAGUCAAACGAAAUUCGACAAAAGAACGGCUUUAAUUUAACCAAGAACUGACACACUUCGUUGCUUCUGCCAAGUUUCGGAAAAAUCAAAGAAUAAGAAAU